CAGGACGAACGCUGGCGGCGUGCCUAAUACAUGCAAGUCGAACGAACUGUGGAAAGCUUGCUUUCAGAGUUAGUGGCGAACGGGUGAGUAACACGUAAGUAACCUAGCUAUUAGACGAGGAUAACUACUGGAAACGGUAGCUAAGACUGGAUAUGAUAGAAAUAUUUAAAGGAUGCUAAGGCAUCGCUAAUAGAGGGGCUUGCGGCGCAUUAGCUAGUUGGUAGGGUAAAAGCCAACCAAGGCGAUGAUGCGUAGCCGACCUGAGAGGGUGACCGGCCACACUGGGACUGAGACACGGCCCAGACUCCUACGGGAGGCAGCAGUAGGGAAUCUUCGGCAAUGGACGGAAGUCUGACCGAGCAACGCCGCCGUGAGUGAAGAAAGUUUUCGGAUUGUAAAGCUCUGUUAUUAGGGAAGAAAGGCUCUAGGAGGAAAUGCUUAGGGAUUGACGGUACCUAAUGAGGAAGCCACGGCUAACUACGUGCCAGCCGCCGC
rnacentral:rRNA from 1 species